rnacentral:rRNA from 1 species
AGAGUUUGAUCCUGGCUCAGGAUGAACGCUAGCUACAGGCUUAACACAUGCAAGUCGAGGGGCAUCAGUUUGGUUUGCUUGCAACCAAAGCUGGCGACCGGCGCACGGGUGAGUAACACGUAUCCAACCUGCCUCAUACUCGGGGAUAGCCUUUCGAAAGAAACGAUUAAUAUCCGAUAGCAUAUAUUUCCCGCAUGGGUUUUAUAUUAAAGAAAUUCGGUAUGAGAGUGGGGAUGCGUUCCAUUUAGUUUGUUGGCGGGGUAACGGGCCCACCAAGACUACGAUGGAUAGGGGUUCUGAGAGGAAGGUCCCCCACAUUGGAACUGAGACACGGUCCAAACUCCUACGGGAGGCAGCA